rnacentral:rRNA from 1 species
UACGUAGGGUGCGAGCGUUAAUCGGAAUUACUGGGCGUAAAGCGUGCGCAGGCGGUUGUGCAAGACAGAGGUGAAAUCCCCGGGCUUAACCUGGGAAUGGCCUUUGUGACUGCACGGCUAGAGUGUGUCAGAGGGGGGUAGAAUUCCACGUGUAGCAGUGAAACGCGUAGAGAUGUGGAGGAAUACCGAUGGCGAAGGCAGCCCCCUGGGAUAACACUGACGCUCAUGCACGAAAGCGUGGGGAGCAAACAGG